rnacentral:tRNA from 1 species
GGGGCUAUAGCUCAGCUGGGAGAGCGCAACACUGGCAGUGUUGAGGUCGGCGGUUCGAACCCGCCUAGCUCCACCA